rnacentral:rRNA from 1 species
UACGGAGGAUGCGAGCGUUAUCCGGAUUUAUUGGGUUUAAAGGGUGCGUAGGCGGACUGUCAAGUCAGCGGUAAAAUUGAGAGGCUCAACCUCUUCCCGCCGUUGAAACUGGUGGUCUUGAGUGGAUGAGAAGUACGCGGAAUGCGUGGUGUAGCGGUGAAAUGCAUAGAUAUCACGCAGAACUCCGAUUGCGAAGGCAGCGUACCGGCAUCCAACUGACGCUGAGGCACGAAAGCGUGGAGAUCAAACAGG